rnacentral:rRNA from 1 species
GGCGUGCUAUACAUGCAAGUCGAGCGAACUGAUUAGAAGCUUGCUUCUAUGACGUUAGCGGCGGACGGGUGAGUAACACGUGGGCAACCUGCCUGUAAGACUGGGAUAACUUCGGGAAACCGAAGCUAAUACCGGAUAGGAUCUUCUCCUUCAUGGGAGAUGAUUGAAAGAUGGUUUCGGCUAUCACUUACAGAUGGGCCCGCGGUGCAUUAGCUAGUUGGUGAGGUAACGGCUCACCAAGGCAACGAUGCAUAGCCGACCUGAGAGGGUGAUCGGCCACACUGGGACUGAGACACGGCCCAGACUCCUACGGGAGGCAGCAGUAGGGAAUCUUCCGCAAUGGACGAAAGUCUGACGGAGCAACGCCGCGUGAGUGAUGAAGGCUUUCGGGUCGUAAAACUCUGUUGUUAGGGAAGAACAAGUACGAGAGUAACUGCUCGUACCUUGACGGUACCUAACCAGAAAGCCACGGCUAACUACGUGCCAGCAGCCGCGGUAAUACGUAGGUGGCAAGCGUUAUCCGGAAUUAUUGGGCGUAAAGCGCGCGCAGGCGGUUUCUUAAGUCUGAUGUGAAAGCCCACGGCUCAACCGUGGAGGGUCAUUGGAAACUGGGGAACUUGAGUGCAGAAGAGAAAAGCGGAAUUCCACGUGUAGCGGUGAAAUGCGUAGAGAUGUGGAGGAACACCAGUGGCGAAGGCGGCUUUUUGGUCUGUAACUGACGCUGAGGCGCGAAAGCGUGGGGAGCAAACAGGAUUAGAUACCCUGGUAGUCCACGCCGUAAACGAUGAGUGCUAAGUGUUAGAGGGUUUCCGCCCUUUAGUGCUGCAGCUAACGCAUUAAGCACUCCGCCUGGGGAGUACGGUCGCAAGACUGAAACUCAAAGGAAAUUGACGGGGGGCCCGCACAAGCGGUGGGAGCAUGUGGUUUUAAUUCGAAGCAACGCGAAGAAACCUUACCAGGUCUUGACAUCCUCUGACAACUCUAGAGAUAGAGCGUUCCCCUUCGGGGGACAGAGUGACAGGUGGUGCAUGGUUGUCGUCAGCUCGUGUCGUGAGAUGUUGGGUUAAGUCCCGCAACGAGCGCAACCCUUGAUCUUAGUUGCCAGCAUUUAGUUGGGCACUCUAAGGUGACUGCCGGUGACAAACCGGAAGAAAGGUGGGGGAUGAACGUCAAAUCAUCAUGGCCCCUUAUGAACCUGGGGCUAACACCCUGGCUACAAUGGGAAUGGUUCCAAAGGGCUUGCAAAAACCCCCAAGGUCAAGCCCAAUCCCCUAAAAACCAUUUUUCAUUUGGGA